rnacentral:rRNA from 1 species
UACAUGGGGUGCAAACGUUGCUCGGAAUUAUUGGGGCGUAAAGCGCACGUAGGCGGUUCGUUAAGUCGGAUGUGAAAGCCCUCGGCUCAACUGAGGAAGUGCACCCGAAACUGGCGAGCUUGAGUACGAAAGAGGAUCGCGGAAUUCCCGGUGUAGAGGUGAAAUUCGUAGAUAUCGGGAGGAACACCGGUGGCGAAGGCGGCGAUCUGGGUCGAUACUGACGCUGAGGUGCGAAAAGCGUGGGGAGCAAACAGG